AGCGGCGGAUGGGUGAGUAACACGUGGGGAACCUGCCCCUAAGUCUGGGAUACCAUUUGGAAACAGGUGCUAAUACCGGAUAAUAAAGCAGAUCGCAUGAUCAGCUUUUGAAAGGCGGCGUAAGCUGUCGCUAAGGGAUGGCCCCGCGGUGCAUUAGCUAGUUGGUAAGGUAACGGCUUACCAAGGCGACGAUGCAUAGCCGAGUUGAGAGACUGAUCGGCCACAUUGGGACUGAGACACGGCCCAAACUCCUACGGGAGGCAGCAGUAGGGAAUCUUCCACAAUGGACGCAAGUCUGAUGGAGCAACGCCGCGUGAGUGAAGAAGGUUUUCGGAUCGUAAAGCUCUGUUGUUGGUGAAGAAGGAUAGAGGUAGUAACUGGCCUUUAUUUGACGGUAAUCAACCAGAAAGUCACGGCUAACUACGUGCCAGCAGCCGCGGUAAUACGUAGGUGGCAAGCGUUGUCCGGAUUUAUUGGGCGUAAAGCGAGCGCAGGCGGAAAAAUAAGUCUAAUGUGAAAGCCCUCGGCUUAACCGAGGAACUGCAUCGGAAACUGUUUUUCUUGAGUGCAGAAGAGGAGAGUGGAACUCCAUGUGUAGCGGUGGAAUGCGUAGAUAUAUGGAAGAACACCAGUGGCGAAGGCGGCUCUCUGGUCUGCAACUGACGCAGAGGCUCGAAAGCAUGGGUAGCGAACAGGAUUAGACACCCUGGUAGUCCAUGCCGUAAACGAUGAGUGCUAAGUGU
rnacentral:rRNA from 1 species